ACAGGGGAUUCCCUAGUAACGGCGAGUGAACCGGGAAGAGCUCAAAUUUGAAAUCUGGCGUCCUCAGGGCGUCCGAGUUGUAAUCUAUAGAGGCGUUUUCCGUGCCGGACCGUGUCCAAGUUCCUUGGAACAGGAUAUCAAAGAGGGUGACAAUCCCGUACUUGACACGACGACCGGUGCUCUGUGAUACGUCUUCUACGAGUCGAGUUGUUUGGGAAUGCAGCUCAAAAUGGGUGGUGAGUUCCAUCUAAAGCUAAAUAUUGGCGAGAGACCGAUAGCGAACAAGUACCGUGAGGGAAAGAUGAAAAGCACUUUGGAAAGAGAGUUAAACAGUACGUGAAAUUGUUGAAAGGGAAACGAUUGAAGUCAGUCGUGACCGAGAGGCUCAGCCGGUUCUGCCGGUGUAUUCCCCUCGGUCGGGUCAACAUCAGUUUUGUCCGGUGGAUAAGGGCGGUAGGAAGGUGGCACCCUCGGGUGUGUUAUAGCCUGCCGUCGCAUACAUCGGGUGAGACUGAGGAACGCAGCUCGCCUUUAUGGCCGGGGUUCGCCCACGUCCGAGCUUAGGAUGUUGACAUAAUGGCUUUAAACGACCCGUCUUGAMMCSGGAMMAAAA
rnacentral:rRNA from 1 species